UGAGGAAUAUUGGUCAAUGGGCGGAAGCCUGAACCAGCCAAGUCGCGUGAGGGAAGACGGUCCUAUGGAUUGUAAACCUCUUUUGCAGGGGAGCAGGGAGCGGUACGCGUACCGCUUUGGAGAGUACCCUGAGAAAAAGGCAUCGGCUAACUCCGUGCCAGCAGCCGCGGUAAUACGGAGGAUGCGAGCGUUAUCCGGAUUUAUUGGGUUUAAAGGGUGCGUAGGCGGACUGGUAAGUCAGCGGUAAAAAUUGCGGUGCUCAACGCCGUAGUGCCGUUGAAACUGCCGGUCUUGAGUGAGCGAGAAGUAUGCGGAAUGCGUGGUGUAGCGGUGAAAUGCAUAGAUAUCACGCAGAACUCCGAUUGCGAAGGCAGCAUACCGGCGCUCAACUGACGCUGAGGCACGAAAGCGUGGGGGAUCGAACAGGAUUAGAUACC
rnacentral:rRNA from 1 species